rnacentral:piRNA from 1 species
UCAAACGCUAUGCCAGAUGAUAAGAGGA